rnacentral:misc_RNA from 1 species
CACAAAACAAAACAAAAAUAAAAACAAAAAAACAAAAAAAUGCAGUUUUGAAAAAUAUUUUACUAGCAUAAUCUGGUUGUUGAAUUGCUUGCUGCUUGAAAAAUAUUUUAAUUAACAAAAAAAAAAAUGGAAACAGUAGUUGUCAAGGAUGAAAUUGAUGAUUCACUUUACAGCCGUCAAAGAUAUGUACUUGGCGACAAUGCUAUGCAAAAACUUGCAAAAUCAAAUGUUCUUAUCAUAGGUUUAGGAGGACUUGGUGUUGAAGUUGCGAAAAAUGUUAUUUUGGCUGGUGUGAAUUCGUUGACAUUAUUAGACGAAAAGAUUUGUCAGGAGAUUGAUCUUGGAACACAAUUUUUUUUAACUCAGCAAGAUGUUAAUAAUAAACUAUCCAGAGCAUCAGCGUGUAGAUCACGUCUUGCAGAAUUAAAUCCACAUGUUUCAGUACAAAUUAUAAAAGAUGAUAUUCUGAGUAAUCUUCCAUCUUUAAAGUCUUAUCAUUGCGUGGUAAUUACUGAGAUGCCAUUUUCUGACCAAGUUGUUUUAAAUAAUUUUUGUCGUGAGCAAACACCACCCAUUUAUUUUAUAUCUGGUGAUGUUCGUGGGUUGUUUAGUUAUGCCUUUUGUGAUUUUGGCAAUAAAUUUGAAGUUACUGAUAUUGAUGGAGAGGAGUACAGAGAAGUUUUUAUCGGAUCUAUUACUAAGUCUAACCCUGCAGUAGUUGGUACAUUAGAAAGUAGAUUACAUGGGUUACAAACUGGCGAUAAAGUGUUACUCAAAGGCAUAAAUGGCAUGUUACAACUAAAUUUCAAAACAUUUAUUGUUCAAUAUUUAACACCAUAUACUUUCAGCAUUGAUUGUGAUACUUCAACUGAUGACUAUCAGAUUUAUGAACAUGGUGGUGUGUUUUGCAAAAUAAAAACUCCUACCAUUAUGAAUUUUCAAAGCUUGGAAAUGCAGCUUACAAACCCUAGUAUAUUAUUAUGUGAUUUAUCAAAGUUAGAAUAUCCAUUACAAACUCUGCUUGCGUUUCAAAGUCUGUAUAAAUACAUUUCUCAGAAGCAAACAUUAAACAACCUGCAUACAGCUUUUAAUGAGUUGUAUGACAUUUCAAUAAGCAUAAACAGCAAGGUAACUAAUUCUGAAAUUUUAACAAUUUUAUCGAGAACUGGAAGUGGUGUAUUUGCACCAUUAUGUGCUGUCAUUGGAGGAAUUAUUUCACAAGAAGUUCUUAAGUGUCUUACUAGUAAAUUUACACCACUUUAUCAGUUUUAUAUUUUGGAUGCUAUGGAGCUUUCUAGUUCAAAUAAUAGGAGUGAAGUUGCAAAUAAUCGAUAUUUUUCGCUGAAUGUAUGUUUAAGCCCAGAUCUAGUUAAAAAAAUGUCAGAGCUAUCUUUAUUUAUGGUGGGAUGUGGAGCCAUUGGUUGUGAGUUGUUAAAGAACUUUGCGUUAGUUGGUUUAGCCACAAAAGGUGACAGCAUUUUGACUAUCACUGAUAAUGACUUAAUUGAAAAGUCUAAUCUUAAUAGGCAGUUUCUCUUUCGUCCUUGGCAUAUACAACAAUCAAAAUCAUUAGUCGCUUCAAAAGAAGUUUGUGUGAUUAAUCCAGAUAUAAAGAUUGAAGCACAUCAAAAUAAAAUUUCAGUUGACACUGAAAAUAUCUACAAUGAUCAUUUUUUUCAAAAAAUGGGUAUUAUCAUAAAUGCUUUGGAUAACAUUGAAACAAGACGAUAUAUAGAUGGGAGAUGUGUUUCUAACACAAGACCAUUAAUUGAGACAGGUACCAUGGGAACUAAAGGUCAUGUUCAGGUUAUUGUGCCUCACUUAACUGAGACUUAUUCUAGUCAGCGUGAUCCAGUUGAUGAAGAUAUACCAUAUUGUACCUUAAAGUCUUUUCCUCAACAGAUAGAACACACAAUUCAAUGGGCAAGAGACAAAUUUGAUAGCUUGUUUACUUAUGAACCAGAAGUUUACAAUAAAUUUUGGGAUAAAAACGAAGACAUGAAUGAAAUAAUUAAGUUUAUUAAAAAGAAUUUUGAAGAAAAUCAUCAGAUACCUGAUGGUUUUGUUGUUUCUGCAUCGUUGUUGAAAAAAAAACCUGCAAACUUUGAAUGCUGUGUUAAAGAAGCCUACCUCAAGUUUUAUAGCUACUUCCAUAAUAAGGCACUUCAGCUGCUAAAUUCUUUUCCACUUGACACAAAGAUGGCAGAUGGAACUUGGUUUUGGCAGUCUCCAAAAAAGCCACCAUCUCCAAUUCAUUUUGAUCCACAGAACCCAUUGCAUAUUCAGUUUGUCACUAGCUAUGCCAUGUUACUUGCGAAAACGUAUGGAAUCUGGAGUGAGGAUUGUAAAAGUGUUAAGAUCCCAGAUGUCAUCAAAUUAUUUCAGUUGCCAGAGUUUAAUCCAUCACAAAAGAAAGUUAUAAUUGAAGAGAACCAAGACAAAGAGAAUAAAAAUGUAAAUUUGGACAAAGUUGGUGGUCUCAUUCAGUAUUUAAGUUCUUUGAAAGAGUUAGAUGCUAUUUCUUUGUCUGUUGAACAUUUUGAGAAAGACAACGAUAGUAAUGGACAUCUUGAUUUUAUCUAUGCCACAGCUAAUUGCUGGAAGGAUUAUUCCUGCAAUUGCAACAACAACAUCUGUUGUAGCAGGCCUAGCAACUCUUGAACUAUUAAAAGUUGUUGCUGGUUGUUCUAGAGAAAGUUUAAAGAAUUGUUUUCUGAAUUUGGCCAUACCUUUAAUGGUUUUAUCUGAACCAGCACCAGCUCCUAAAAUAAAAAUAAUAAACGAUGUUCAGUUUACAUGUUGGGACAGAUGGGACAUUCAUGGACAUAAAGAUUAUCGGCUAAAAGAUUUUGUUGAUUAUUUAAAA